AUUCAGCCGGAGGAAGAGCCUGGGGAACAAAUCAACUCAAACCCCACCUGAGACCUCAGAGAGGAUGAGAUAAAGAGAAAUAUGGGAUCCACACCCUGCUCAGAACAUGAAGCCCCAUAACUCCGGAAUGCCUGGCAGGAGUGACUUUUCUGAGAAUGGAGCCUGGGACAGCCACCCAACGUGCUGAGUGGAGGUGGCUAAGGACAUUUCCAGCCCAGCAGUCGUCAUGAUAAGGAAAGUAAGUCCAGAGGAGAAGGCUUACCCCCAAGCUUUCUUACAGCAGAAAACCAGCAGUCUGUGGCAGCAACUCCAAGUUAUUC
rnacentral:lncRNA from 1 species